GACAGAGGGUGCAAACGUUGUUCGGAAUUACUGGGCGUAAAGCGCGUGUAGGCAGCUGAGCAAGUCGGAUGUGAAAGCCCUGGGCUCAACCUAGGAAGUGCAUUCGAAACUGCUGAGCUUGAGUUCUGGAGAGGAAGGCGGAAUUCUCGGUGUAGCGGUGAAAUGCGUAGAUAUCGAGAGGAACACCUGCGGCGAAGGCGGGUUGCUGGGCUGAUACUGACGCUGAGGCGCGAAAGCCAGGGGAGCGAACGGG
rnacentral:rRNA from 1 species